CCCUUAGAUGUUCUGGGCCGCACGCGCGCUACACUGAUGCGUUCAACGAGUAUACAACCUUGAUCGAUAGGUCUGGGUAAUCUUGUGAAUGCGCAUCGUGCUAGGGAUAGAUUGUUGCAAUUUUCAAUCUUGAACGAGGAAUUCCUAGUAAACGCAAGUCAUCAGCUUGCAUUGAUUACGUCCCUGCCCUUUGUACACACCGCCCGUCGCUCCUACCGAUUGAAUGCUCAGGUGAGCCAUUCGGACUUUCAUCAUGCUGGUUUCCAGUUUUGAUGUAGGAAAGUCUUGCGAACCUUAUCAUUUAGAGGAAGGAGAAGUCGUAACA
rnacentral:rRNA from 1 species